UGGGUAACCUGCCUCAAAGAGGGGAAUAGCCUCCCGAAAGGGAGAUUAAUACCGCAUAAUAUGUUUAAGUCGCAUGACUUUAACAUCAAAGGAUUUUCUUUUAAGAAAUUCCACUUUGAGAUGGACCCGCGGCGCAUUAGCUAGUUGGUGAGGUAACGGCUCACCAAGGCAACGAUGCGUAGCCGACCUGAGAGGGUGAUCCGGCCACAUUGGAACUGAGACACGGUCCAGCUCCGUAGGGAG
rnacentral:rRNA from 1 species